rnacentral:lncRNA from 1 species
GGGUAACAUGUCAUGGGAGUGUUUCCUCUGGUGGGGGUAACAUGUCAUGGGAGUGUUUCCUCUGGUGGGGAGGUAACAUGUCAUGGGAGUGUUUCCUCUGGUGGGGGGUAAUAUAUAACAUGUCAUGGGAGUGUUACCUAUGGUGGGGGGGGGGGGUAACAUGUCAUGGGAGUGUUUCCUCUGGUGGGGGGUAAUAUAUAACAUGUCAUGGGAGUGUUACCUAUGGUGGGGGGGGGGGGGGGGGUAACAUGUCAUGGGAGUGUUUCCUCUGGUGGGGGGGUGACAUGUCAUGGGAGUGUUACCUCUGGUGGGGGGUAACAUGUCAUGGGAGUGUUACCUCUGGUGGGGGGGUAACAUGUCAUGGGAGUGUUUCCUCUGGUGGGGGGGUAACAUGUCAUGGGAGUGUUUCCUCUGGUGGGGGUAACAUGUCAUGGGAGUGUUACCUCUGGUGGGGGGUAACAUGUCAUGGGAGUGUUACCUCUGGUGGGGGUAACAUGUCAUGGGAGUGUUUCCUCUGGUGGGGGGGUAACAUGUCAUGGGAGUGUUUCCUCUGGUGGGGGUAACAUGUCAUGGGAGUGUUUCCUCUGGUGGGGGGGGGGGGGGGUAACAUGUCAUGGGAGUGUUACCUCUGGUGGGGGUAAUAUGUCAUGGGAGUAUUUCCUCUGGUGGGGGGGGUAACAUGUCAUGGGAGUGUUACCUCUGGUGGGGGGGUAACAUGUAACAUGUCAUGGGAGUGUUACCUCUGGUGGGGGGUAACAUGUAACAUGUCAUGGGAGUGUUACCUCUGGUGGGGGGUAACAUGUCAUGGGAGUGUUACCUCUGGUGGGGGUAACAUGUCAUGGGAGUGUUUCCUCUGGUGGGGGGUAACAUGUCAUGGGAGUGUUUCCUCUGGUGGGGGGGUAACAUGUAACAUGUCAUGGGAGUGUUUCCUCUGGUGGGGGGUAACAUGUCAUGGGAGUGUUUCCUCUGGUGGGGGGGUAAUAUGUCAUGGGAGUGUUUCCUCUGGUGGGGGUAACAUGUCAUGGGAGUGUUUCCUCUGGUGGGGGGGGGGUAACAUGUCAUGGGAGUGUUACCUCUGGUGGGGGGGUAACAUGUCAUGGGAGUGUUACCUCUGGUGGGGGGGUAACAUGUCAUGGGAGUGUUACCUCUGGUGGGGGGGGGGGGGGGGGGGGUAAAAUGUAACACGUCAUUGGGAGUGUUUCCUCUGGUGGGGGGGGGGGGGGGUAUAACCCUAACCCUCUGUACAGCCAUUUGAUUUCAGGGUUAUUUUCUG